AACUGGACGCUGCAUCAUGUGUGUUGUGCUGUGGAGAACACGUUUGGAAUCUGGUAUCGAAGGUAAUUAUUUAUAAUAGAUAUAUUGUCAUGGAUUGGUAAAACAGUUGCAUUUUCAUUCCUUCUUAUGAGUUAGAUUGUAUAUCUGUAAAGUUGUGUUUGUUAUGGAUCUAACAUCUCGUCAUAAUCUAAUUUCAAGUUCAGAUGCCCUGAGCACAGUGAAACGCAGUGUUUUCAAAUAGGUUGUGCAAAGUGUACGACUAGUUCACACAAGCGGCAUGAAAUUUAUGCAUUCCAGAAAUUUUGAACAUUUCAAAAUUUUCUUUGUGCACUGG